GAUGAACGCUGGCGGCGUGCCUAAUACAUGCAAGUCGAGCGAACAGACGAGGAGCUUGCUCCUCUGACGUUAGCGGCGGACGGGUGAGUAACACGUGGAUAACCUACCUAUUAGACUGGGAUAACUUCGGGAAACCGGAGCCAAUACCGGAUAAUAUAUUGAACCGGUUGGAUCAAUAGUGAAAGGCGGUUUUGCUGUCUCUUAUAGAUGGAUCCGCGCCGCAUUAGCUAGUUGGUAAGGUAAAGGCUUACCAAGGCAACGAUGCGUAGCCGACCUGAGAGGGUGAUCGGCCACACUGGAACUGAGACACGGUCCAGACUCCUACGGGAGGCAGCAGUAGGGAAUCUUGCGCAAUGGGCGCAAGCCUGACCGAGCAACGCCGCGUGAGUGAUGAAGGUCUUCGGAUCGUAAAGCUCUGUUAUUAGGAAAGAACAAAUGUGUAAUUAACUAUGCACGUCUUGACGGUACCUAAUCAGAAAGCCCCGGCUAACUACGUG
rnacentral:rRNA from 1 species